rnacentral:rRNA from 1 species
UACGGGGGGAGCAAGCGUUGGUCGGAUUUACUGGGCGUAAAGGGCGCGUAGGCGGCCAGCACAAGUCGGUUGUGAAAUCUCCGGGCUUAACUCGGAAAGGUCAACCGAUACUGUGCGGCUAGAGUGCGGAAGGGGCAACUGGAAUUCUCGGUGUAGCGGCGAAAUGCGUAGAUAUCUGGAGGAACACCGGUGGCGAAGGCGGCAUCCUGGACCGGCAUUGACGCUGAGGCGCGAAAGCCAGGGGAGCAAACGGG